GGGUUGUGAGGUUAAGCGACUAAGCGUACACGGUGGAUGCCCUGGCAGUCAGAGGCGAUGAAGGACGUGCUAAUCUGCGAAAAGCGUCGGUAAGGUGAUAUGAACCGUUACAGCCGGCGAUGUCCGAAUGGGGAAACCCAGUGCAAUUCGUUGCACUAUCGUUAACUGAAUACAUAGGUUAACGAGGCGAACCGGGGGAACUGAAACAUCUAAGUACCCCGAGGAAAAGAAAUCAACCGAGAUUCCCCCAGUAGCGGCGAGCGAACGGGGAGCAGCCCAGAGUCUGAAUCAGCUUGUGUGUUAGUGGAACGGUCUGGAAAGUCCGACGGUACAGGGUGAUAGUCCCGUACACCAAAAUGCACAGGUUGUGAACUCGAAGAGUAGGGCGGGACACGUGGUAUCCUGUCUGAAUAUGGGGGGACCAUCCUCCAAGGCUAAAUACUCCUGACUGACCGAUAGUGAACCAGUACCGUGAGGGAAAGGCGAAAAGAACCCCGGCGAGGGGAGUGAAAAAGAACCUGAAACCGUGUACGUACAAGCAGUGGGAGCACCUUCGGGUGUGACUGCGUACCUUUUGUAUAAUGGGUCAGCGACUUAUAUUCUGUAGCAAGGUUAACCGUAUAGGGGAGCCGCAGGGAAACCGAGUCUUAACUGGGCGUUAAGUUGCAGGGUAUAGACCCGAAACCCGGUGAUCUAGCCAUGGGCAGGUUGAAGGUUGGGUAACACUAACUGGAGGACCGAACCGACUAAUGUUGAAAAAUUAGCGGAUGACUUGUGGCUGGGGGUGAAAGGCCAAUCAAACCGGGAGAUAGCUGGUUCUCCCCGAAAGCUAUUUAGGUAGCGCCUCGUGAACUCAUCUUCGGGGGUAGAGCACUGUUUCGGCUAGGGGGUCAUCCCGACUUACCAACCCGAUGCAAACUACGAAUACCGAAGAAUGUUAUCACGGGAGACACACGGCGGGUGCUAACGUCCGUCGUGAAGAGGGAAACAACCCAGACCGCCAGCUAAGGUCCCAAAGUCACAGUUAAGUGGGAAACGAUGUGGGAAGGCACAGACAGCCAGGAUGUUGGCUUAGAAGCAGCCAUCAUUUAAAGAAAGCGUAAUAGCUCACUGGUCGAGUCGGCCUGCGCGGAAGAUGUAACGGGGCUAAACUGUGCACCGAAGCUGCGGCAGCGACACUAUGUGUUGUUGGGUAGGGGAGCGUUCUGUAAGCCUGCGAAGGUGGCCUGUGAGGGUUGCUGGAGGUAUCAGAAGUGCGAAUGCUGACAUAAGUAACGAUAAUGCGGGUGAAAAGCCCGCACGCCGGAAGACCAAGGGUUCCUGUCCAACGUUAAUCGGGGCAGGGUGAGUCGACCCCUAAGGCGAGGCCGAAAGGCGUAGUCGAUGGGAAACAGGUUAAUAUUCCUGUACUUGGUGUUACUGCGAAGGGGGGACGGAGAAGGCUAUGUUAGCCGGGCGACGGUUGUCCCGGUUUAAGCAUGUAGGCGGAGGUUCCAGGUAAAUCCGGUACCUUUUAACGCUGAGGUGUGAUGACGAGGCACUACGGUGCUGAAGUAACAAAUGCCCUGCUUCCAGGAAAAGCCUCUAAGCAUCAGGUAACAUUGAAUCGUACCCCAAACCGACACAGGUGGUCAGGUAGAGAAUACCAAGGCGCUUGAGAGAACUCGGGUGAAGGAACUAGGCAAAAUGGUGCCGUAACUUCGGGAGAAGGCACGCUGAUAUGUAGGUGAAGCCCCUGCGGGUGGAGCUGAAAUCAGUCGAAGAUACCAGCUGGCUGCAACUGUUUAUUAAAAACACAGCACUGUGCAAACACGAAAGUGGACGUAUACGGUGUGACGCCUGCCCGGUGCCGGAAGGUUAAUUGAUGGGGUUAUCCGUAAGGAGAAGCUCUUGAUCGAAGCCCCGGUAAACGGCGGCCGUAACUAUAACGGUCCUAAGGUAGCGAAAUUCCUUGUCGGGUAAGUUCCGACCUGCACGAAUGGCGUAAUGAUGGCCAGGCUGUCUCCACCCGAGACUCAGUGAAAUUGAACUCGCUGUGAAGAUGCAGUGUACCCGCGGCAAGACGGAAAGACCCCGUGAACCUUUACUAUAGCUUGACACUGAACAUUGAGCCUUGAUGUGUAGGAUAGGUGGGAGGCUUUGAAGCGUGGACGCCAGUCUGCGUGGAGCCAACCUUGAAAUACCACCCUUUAAUGUUUGAUGUUCUAACGUUGGCCCCUGACCGGGGUUGCGGACAGUGUCUGGUGGGUAGUUUGACUGGGGCGGUCUCCUCCCAAAGAGUAACGGAGGAGCACGAAGGUUAGCUAAUCCUGGUCGGACAUCAGGAGGUUAGUGCAAUGGCAUAAGCUAGCUUGACUGCGAGCGUGACGGCGCGAGCAGGUGCGAAAGCAGGUCAUAGUGAUCCGGUGGUUCUGAAUGGAAGGGCCAUCGCUCAACGGAUAAAAGGUACUCCGGGGAUAACAGGCUGAUACCGCCCAAGAGUUCAUAUCGACGGCGGUGUUUGGCACCUCGAUGUCGGCUCAUCACAUCCUGGGGCUGAAGUAGGUCCCAAGGGUAUGGCUGUUCGCCAUUUAAAGUGGUACGCGAGCUGGGUUUAGAACGUCGUGAGACAGUUCGGUCCCUAUCUGCCGUGGGCGCUGGAGAAUUGAGGGGGGCUGCUCCUAGUACGAGAGGACCGGAGUGGACGCAUCACUGGUGUUCGGGUUGUCAUGCCAAUGGCAUUGCCCGGUAGCUAAAUGCGGAAGAGAUAAGUGCUGAAAGCAUCUAAGCACGAAACUUGCCCCGAGAUGAGUUCUCCCUGAGACUUUAAGUCUCCUGAAGGAACGUUAAAGACGAUGACGUUGAUAGGUCGGGUGUGUAAGCGUAGCGAUACGUUGAGCUAACCGAUACUAAUGAACCGUGAGGCUUAACCUUACAACGCCGAAGGUGUUU
rnacentral:rRNA from 1 species